AGCAGAGGUAUAGGGAUAGAGGCAGCCCUGUAGCUCUGUAGCUCUGGCCAUGGAUCACAGUAACUGUAGUCAUCUCCCUCCUUGACAGACUCCCUGGAGAGAGAAGGCUACUAAUGGAUGUCUGAGAGGGGAGAGAGAUCAGGAAAUUUACCCAAAGGCCACUGUGAGGAUCAGUUAGGAGAAAUGUGGUCAGGAAACACAAGCUACAGAUGGCUGAAUACAGUUCCAAAAGAAAGAAAGGAUCCCUGCUCAUCACUCCAGAACAGUAGCUUUCCAUUCUGAGGAAUCUUGGAGAGAAGAUUAAAGGGGAGUGUCAAAAGGGCCUUGAGAAACAUCUGCCUACAUUACGAGGAGAGAUUAACAGACCAAAGUAAAGGAGUUGAGAAGGUUGAUUCCUUUGGAAAAAUUCCAAUGGAAGACAUCAGUAGAAGUCUAAGAUACAUCAUUCCUUGA